rnacentral:rRNA from 1 species
UCCCUACGGGAGGCAGCAGUGGGGAAUAUUGCACAAUGGGGGAAACCCUGAUGCAGCGACGCCGCGUGAGUGAAGAAGUAAUUCGUUAUGUAAAGCUCUAUCAGCAGGGAAGAAAAUGACGGUACCUGAGUAAGAAGCCCCGGCUAACUACGUGCCAGCAGCCGCGGUAAUACGUAGGGGGCAAGCGUUAUUCGGAUUUACUGGGUGUAAAGGGAGCGUAGACGGGAGCGCAAGUCAGAUGUGAAAACUCAGGGCUCAACCCUGAGCCUGCAUUUGAAACUGUGUUUCUUGAGUGCUGGAGAGGC